UACGUAGGGGGCAAGCGUUGUCCGGAAUCAUUGGGCGUAAAGCGCGCGUAGGCGGCCCGAUAAGUCUGCUGUGAAAGUCCAGGGCUCAACCCUGGAAUGCCGGUGGAUACUGUCGGGCUAGAGUUCGGAAGAGGCAAGUGGAAUUCCUGGUGUAGCGGUGGAAUGCGCAGAUAUCAGGAGGAACACCUAUAGCGAAGGCAGCUUGCUGGGACGACACUGACGCUAAGGCACGAAAGCGUGGGGAGCAAACAGG
rnacentral:rRNA from 1 species